rnacentral:rRNA from 1 species
AUUGAACGCUGGCGGCAUGCCUUACACAUGCAAGUCGAACGGCAGCACGGGAGCAAUCCUGGUGGCGAGUGGCGAACGGGUGAGUAAUAUAUCGGAACGUGCCCAGUCGUGAGGGAUAACGCAGCGAAAGCUGUGCUAAUACCGCAUACGAUCUACGGAUGAAAGCGGGGGAUCGCAAGACCUCGCGCGAUUGGAGCGGCCGAUAUCAGAUUAGCUAGUUGGUGGGGUAAAGGCCCACCAAGGCGACGAUCUGUAGCUGGUCUGAGAGGACGACCAGCCACACUGGAACGGAGACACGGUCCAGACUCCUACGGGAGGCAGCAGUGGGGAAUGUUGGACAAUGGGCGCAAGCCUGAUCCAGCAAUGCCGCGUGCAGGAUGAAGGCCUUCGGGUUGUAAACUGCUUUUGUACGGAACGAAACGGCCCUUUCUAAUACAGGGGGCUAAUGACGGUACCGUAAGAACAAGCACCGGCUAACUACGUGCCAGCAGCCGCAGUAA